AUAAAAGGCAAGUAAGCGAGUUUCCUCUCUACUCAUCCUCUGGCAUCCCCUGAAGUGAGAAACAACGGACACCGACUUACAAGAUGAAGACAAUGGUUGUUCUCGUGUUGAUGGCAACAGCUCUGUGUGCCAAUUCCUUGCCAAGGGGCUGCCCCUGCCCGAGGAUUAUGUUGCCCGUCUGUGACACCAAUGGGAACAUCUACGACAACUCAUGCAUCAGGGACUGUAGAGGCGGAAUGCCAUCUGAUGCCUUCCAAGUGGACAGGGCAAGCUGGAGCUGUGUGCCCGCCUAGCCGCCGGUACAUCUACAAACUCAACACACCUACCUCAUGAGUACCUCAUGUACCUGCCUAUGACAACAGCCUUUAAAUAAAGAUUUGUUAAAUGCA